rnacentral:rRNA from 1 species
GACGAACGCUGGCGGCGUGCUUAACACAUGCAAGUCGAACGAAAAUACCAAGCUUGCUUGGUUGAUUAGUGGCGAACGGGUGAGUAACACGUGAGUAACCUGCCCCUUACUUUCCUGGAUAACUGCUCGAAAGGGUAGCUAAUACGGGAUAUUCUGGCCUUCCUGCAUGGGUUGGUUUGGAAAGGUUGUUUUUCUGGUGAGGGAUGGGCUCGCGGCCUAUCAGCUUGUUGGUGGGGUGAUGGCCUACCAAGGCUUUGACGGGUAGCCGGCCUGAGAGGGUGGACGGUCACACUGGGACUGAGAUACGGCCCAGACUCCUACGGGAGGCAGCAGUGGGAAUAUUGCACAAUGGGCGCAAGCCUGAUGCAGCGACGCCGCGUGAGGGAUGAAGGCCUUCGGGUUGUAAACCUCUUUCGUCAGGGAACAAGGCACUGUCUUUUUGGUGGUGUUGAGGGUACCUGGGUAAGAAGCGCCGGCUAC